AGUGAACGCUAGCGGCGCGCCUAACACAUGCAAGUCGAGUGGGUUUAGACCCACGGCAGACGGCUGCGUAACACGUUGGAACCUGCCUCGAACUCAGGGAUAGCCCCGCGAAAGCGGGGCUAAUACCGGAUGGUCACGCCAGGGUAAAGCUUCGUGGGGGGCGCCACAAGAUGAGCCUGCGCCCGAAUAUGCUAGCUGGUGGGGUAAAAGCCUACCAGGGCUGCGAUCGGUAGCUGGUCUGAGAGGACGAUCAGCCACACUGGGAUUGAGAACGGCCCAGACUCCUACGGGGGGCAGCAGUGAGGAAUUUUCGUCAAUGGGGGAAACCCUGAACGAGCAACGCCGCGUGCAGGAAGAAGGUUUUCGGAUCGUAAACUGCUCUUCUGAGGGAAGAGAAGGGACGGUACCUCAGGAAGAAGCCCCGGCUAACUACGUGCCAGCAGCCGCCGCCGUAA
rnacentral:rRNA from 1 species